rnacentral:sRNA from 1 species
AUCACUCAAAGAACCAAGGUGGGAAGCUGGCAGUGCUUGGUUCAUGUCACAUGUUCAGUGAUCAAUAUUUGGACAAAGAAGAAAACAGCAAAAUCAUGGAUGUUGUUUUCCAGUGGCUCACGACAGGAGACAUCCACCUAAACCAGAUUGAUGCUGAGGACCCAGAGGUAGACACCGAAUUAUUAGAAACUUUUAAAUGAAAAAUGAGUCCAGCUUCUCAGUACCACUUCUCACAGCUCAAAAGGAACACAUGACUGUCUUACCUCAUCUGUAAGACAGAUGGAACGAAGGAAUGAUUUG